AACUGAAGAGUUUGAUCAUGGCUCAGAUUGAACGCUGGCGGCAGGCUUAACACAUGCAAGUCGAGCGGGGGAAGGUAGCUUGCUACUGGACCUAGCGGCGGACGGGUGAGGUAAUGCUUAGGAAUCUGCCUAUUAGUGGGGGACAACGAUCUCGAAAGGGAU
rnacentral:rRNA from 1 species